rnacentral:tRNA from 1 species
CCUUCGAUAGCUCAGUUGGUAGAGCGGAGGACUGUAGAUCCUUAGGUCGCUGGUUCGACUCCAGCUCGAAGGA